GCAGACGUGAAAACAGCCUACACGCUAAUGCAAAACCAGUAAAAAAAUCCGCAGAUGUGGUUGCUUUUACUUAGUUUAAUUUGCAUAAAAAAUGGUCGAAGGGUGCUGCGCGGUCGACCGCACAAACAAACAACGAUGAAAACCAAACUUUUUUUUAUAUAACACGAGGAAAGAUUCAGCGGCGAUGGAUAAAGACUGUCAGCCCUCCGUGUAACCGCGGAUUUUCAACGAACACUUUUUACAUGCCUUGAUAGGGUGGGCUCGUGGUGUGGAUGGAGCCAAGCAGGACCACCUCCUUGGUGACUGACCCUGGCUGCUUGGGGCAGGCGAACAGGUGGGACAGGACCCCCCAAUACUCAGUCCUGGACCCCCAGUUGGGAGAAGAUACUCGUCUUCCCUGAUGUGUAUUUUCAGAUGUGCGCCUCUCUCUGUCUGACUCCCGCAUGCUCCGAUAGACAGAGUGAAGCCCUGCACACCUCCUCCCCCCGUGAAUAUCCUUCCACACCUUGUUGAUGGGACCGGAACUUUCCCGUGUUUCGCCGGGGUGGGCCCUGCCUUGACUCAUGGGACUGAGUGAGAGGGGUCGUGACCCGAGCUAUGAAGUGCUUCCUGUUUCUGUUCAAGGGGUCUUCAGAGGCCUGCCGUGAUCACAGGAGAAGCAGAGCGAGUGUUCGUCUGUGGGUGUGGGUCGACUCUGGUCAGGGUUCAUCCACGAGGCACGGCAGUGGGGUGAGGACUGGAUGACAUCUAGAGGAUCGUCAUUGCACCAAAGCCUGUCUUAUUCUUCAUCCUCUUCUUCCCUCCUCCCCGCUACUAGAGGGGAUCUGGAAGACAGACCUCCAGCCUACUUUGAUCAGGAUUCAAUUAAAGGUCCCUGAGGGAGAAGAGAUGGAGCUGGGAAGCUCUGAUGGGAAAGUGGGCCAGCUCUCUUAGCCCUCCACUGGAGAGCUCCAUAAAAGCAAGCGGAGAAGCCCAGCAGCAGAGCCAGUCUUGGGCCAAGCUCAUCAAGCACAUCAGCGAAACACACAACGAUGAUGACUUCAUUCAGCCGAAAUAGAGCUUCCAUCCAUCAUCAGCUGGGAAAAGCUUAUUAUGAAACUCAGGAUUUCCUGAACUUGGGGAUUUUUCAGUGUAUUCUGUAUUCAUGUUGUGUGAUUUAGCCAUUGUUUUUAAGGUUAUAUUUUUGCUUCUAAAAGAAACGUGGAGCUGCUGUUAAGUUCACAAAAAGCAGAAAUGCUGCAGCACCUUUGCAACAAGAAAUGCAGAAGUAGUCUUUUGCAACUCUCAGUUGGUUAAGAGUAACCAACUGAGGUCAUUGUAACAAAUGAAUGCUUCGAUCUAAACGUUCCCAUUGUAUGGGUGAUUAUAAAUACUUUCCUAACACACUGUAUAGUAAAGCUACUGAUGGUCAAUCACUGGCGUAUAACUAUGGUGGACAUCCUUCUUGCACAGCUGCUUCUCUAGAUUAAAACUUUUUUUUUCCAUUGUAACAUGUGUAAUUAAGAUCACACAUACGAACACCCCCUUGUUGAAUACAGCAACCAUAUUGGAAGAGUUUCACUUCUCUACAGGUGAACACAAACACCUUGAUGGUGGUGAUCUAAGAGCCAUCUGCUGUUAUCUGGAGAAUGUUCUCUGCACACUUCAUGGACAUAUAUGUUCCACCACUUUGACUUCUCUGCUAUUUUUAGCACUGACCCUCCACUAAAGGUUGUGAUGAUGAUGUCACACAACCUUUUAAAAACAAUCUGACUGUUAAUCUUGUAUUGGACUUCCUGUCAAAUCCAAAAUAGGAAGAUAGGAAACAAACAAAAACAUUUUUUGUGUUUGUUUAUCAGUCAAAAUGGAUGUCAAAAUAAGAAUUUGGGACUUGUUUAACAUCACUACACUGAUAAAAAAAAAUUCCAUCAAUUUUAUUUAUACAUGUGUACCUGGAAAUAGCACCAAACUUGAACAUAAUUUGUUUUUGAUAAAGAUUUCUUUCACUCAGUA